AUUGAACGCUGGCGGCAUGCCUUACACAUGCAAGUCGAACGGCAGCACGGGUGCUUGCACCUGGUGGCGAGUGGCGAACGGGUGAGUAAUACAUCGGAACAUGUCCUGUAGUGGGGGAUAGCCCGGCGAAAGCCGGAUUAAUACCGCAUACGAUCUACGGAUGAAAGCGGGGGACCUUCGGGCCUCGCGCUAUAGGGUUGGCCGAUGGCUGAUUAGCUAGUUGGUGGGGUAAAGGCCUACCAAGGCGACGAUCAGUAGCUGGUCUGAGAGGACGACCAGCCACACUGGAACUGAGACACGGCCCAGACUCCUACGGGAGGCAGCAGUGGGGAAUUUUGGACAAUGGGCGAAAGCCUGAUCCAGCAAUGCCGCGUGUGUGAAGAAGGCCUUCGGGUUGUAAAGCACUUUUGUCCGGAAAGAAAUCCUUGGCGCUAAUACGGUCGGGGGAUGACGGUACCGGAAGAAUAAGCACCGGCUAACUACGUG
rnacentral:rRNA from 1 species